GAUCCUGGCUCAGGACGAACGCUGGCGGCGUGCCUAACACAUGCAAGUCGAGCGAUGAAAUCCUUCGGGAUGGAUUAGCGGCGGACGGGUGAGUAACACGUGGGUAACCUGCCUUGUAGAGGGGGAUAGCCUUCCGAAAGGAAGAUUAAUACCGCAUAACAUCUUUUUAUCGCAUGGUAGAAAGAUCAAAGGAGGUAAUCCGCUACAAGAUGGACCCGCGGCGCAUUAGGCUAGUUGGUGAGGUAACGGCUCACCAAGGCGACGAUGCGUAGCCGACCUGAGAGGGUGAUCGGCCACAUUGGAACUGAGACACGGUCCAGACUCCUACGGGAGGCAGCAGUGGGGAAUAUUGCGCAAUAGGGGGGAAACCCUGACGCAGCAACGCCGCGUGAAUGAAGAAGGCCUUAGGGUUGUAAAGUUCUGUUUACGGGGACGAUAAUGACGGUACCCGUGGAGGAAGCCACGGCUAACUACGUGCCAGCCGCCGC
rnacentral:rRNA from 1 species